rnacentral:tRNA from 1 species
GGGCGUUUAGCUCAGUGGUAGAGCGUCUCGUUUACACCGAGAAGGCCGUAGGUUCAAUCCCUACAACGCCCA